rnacentral:rRNA from 1 species
UGGGGAAUAUUGCACAAUGGGGGAAACCCUGAUGCAGCGACGCCGCGUGAGCGAAGAAGUAUUUCGGUAUGUAAAGCUCUAUCAGCAGGGAAGAAACUGACGGUACCUGACUAAGAAGCACCGGCUAAAUACGUGCCAGCAGCCGCGGUAAUACGUAUGGUGCAAGCGUUAUCCGGAUUUACUGGGUGUAAAGGGAGCGUAGACGGAUGGGCAAGUCUGAAGUGAAAGCCCGGGGCUCAACCCCGGGACUGCUUUGGAAACUGUUCAUCUAGAGUGCUGGAGAGGUAAGUGGAAUUCCUAGUGUAGCGGUGAAAUGCGUAGAUAUUAGGAGGAACACCAGUGGCGAAGGCGGCUUACUGGACAGUAACUGACGUUGAGGCUCGAAAGCGUGGGGAGCAAACAGG